AACGAACGCUGGCGGCAGGCCUAACACAUGCAAGUCGAGCGCCCCGCAAGGGGAGCGGCGGACGGGUGAGUAACGCGUGGGAACGUGCCCUUUGCUUCGGAAUAGCCUCGGGAAACUGGGGGUAAUACCGAAUGUGCCCUACGGGGGAAAGAUUUAUCGGCAAAGGAUCGGCCCGCGUUGGAUUAGGUAGUUGGUGGGGUAAUGGCCUACCAAGCCGACGAUCCAUAGCUGGUUUGAGAGGAUGAUCAGCCACACUGGGACUGAGACACGGCCCAGACUCCUACGGGAGGCAGCAGUGGGGAAUCUUAGACAAUGGGCGCAAGCCUGAUCUAGCCAUGCCGCGUGAGCGAUGAAGGCCUUAGGGUUGUAAAGCUCUUUCGUGGGGGAAGAUAAUGACUGUACCCCAAGAAGAAGCCCCAGCUAACUCCGUGCCAGCAGCCGCGGUAACAC
rnacentral:rRNA from 1 species